rnacentral:rRNA from 1 species
CCUACGGGAGGCAGCAGUGAGGAAUAUUGGUCAAUGGGCGGGAGCCUGAACCAGCCAAGCCGCGUGAGGGAAGAAGGUACAGCGUAUCGUAAACCUCUUUUGUCAGGGAACAAAGGCGGGGACUAGUCCCCGGAUGAGGGUACCUGAAGAAAAAGCCUCGGCUAACUCCGUGCCAGAAGCCGCGGUAAUACGGAGGAUGCGAGCUUUAUCCGGAUUUAUUGGGUUAAAAGGGUGCGCAGGCGGCCUGUUAAGUCAGCGGGAAAAGCCCGGGGCCCAACCCCGGCGAGCCGUUGAAACUGGCGGGCUGGAGUUGGAGAGAAGUACGCGGAAUGCGCGGUGUAGCGGUGAAAUGCUUAGAUAUCGCGCAGAACCCCGAUUGCGAAGGCAGCGUACCGGCUCCACACUGACGCUGAGGCACGAAAGCGUGGGUAUCGAACAGGAUUAGAUACCCCAGUAGUC